rnacentral:rRNA from 1 species
GAUGAACGCUAGCGGCAGGCCUAACGCAUGCAAGUCGAGGGGCAGCGCGGGUAGCAAUACCCGGCGGCGACCGGCGCACGGGUGCGUAACACGUAUGCAAUCUGCCCUGUACAGGAGAAUAACCCGGAGAAAUCCGGCCUAAUGCUCCAUAGCGCGUAGGAGCGGCAUCGCCCUUACGCUAAAGAGCCAUCGGUACAGGAUGAGCAUGCGCCCUAUUAGCUAGUUGGCGGGGUAACAGCCCACCAAGGCCACGAUAGGUAGGGGUUCUGAGAGGAAGGCCCCCCACACUGGUACUGAGACACGGACCAGACUCCUACGGGAGGCAGCAGUGAGGAAUAUUGGUCAAUGGGCGCAAGCCUGAACCAGCCAUGCCGCGUGCAGGACGACGGCCCUACGGGUUGUAAACUGCUUUUGCACGGGAGCAAACCCGGCCCCGCGGGGCCGGCUGAGAGUACCGUGCGAAUAAGGAUCGGCUAACUCCGUGCCAGCAGCCGCGGUAAUACGGAGGAUCCGAGCGUUAUCCGGAUUCAUUGGGUUUAAAGGGUGCGUAGGCGGCUUGGUAAGUCAGCGGUGAAAGGCUGGGGCUCAACCCCAGCAGCGCCGUUGAAACUGCCGAGCUUGAGUACGGAUGAAGCCGGCGGAGUGCGCAGUGUAGCGGUGAAAUGCAUAGAUAUUGCGCAGAAGGCCGAUUGCGAAGGCAGCUGGCUAAUCCGGAACUGACGCUGAGGCACGAAAGCGUGGGGAUCAAACAGGAUUAGAUACCCUGGUAGUCCACGCCGUAAACGAUGAUAGCUCGCUGCUGGCGAUACACAGUCAGUGGCCAAGCGAAAGCGGUAAGCUAUCCACCUGGGGAGUACGUUCGCAAGAAUGAAACUCAAAGGAAUUGACGGGGGCCCGCACAAGCGGAGGAACAUGUGGUUUAAUUCGAUGAUACGCGAGGAACCUUACCCGGGCUCGAACGGCUUCUGAAUGCGGGCGAAAGCCCGCAGCCAGCAAUGGCAGGA